AUACGGAAGGUCCGGGCGUUAUCCGGAUUUAUUGGGUUUAAAGGGAGCGCAGGCGGAGAUGCAAGCGUGACGUCAAAUUUCGGGGCUCAACCCCGUCUCGCGUCGCGAACUGCGUCCCUUGGUUGCGGGAAGGGGAGGCGGGACUCGUGGUGUAGCGGGGAAAUGCAUAGAUAUCACGAAGAACACCAAUCGCGAAGGCAGCAUACGAGGCAUCAUCUGACGCUGAUGCACGAAAGCGUGGGGAUCAAACAGGAUUAGAUACCCUGGUAGUCCACGCUGUAAACUAUGAUAACUAUCUUUUAGCGAUACACAGUUAGAGGGUACGAGAAAUCAUUAAGUUAUCCACCUGGGGAGUACGUUCGCAAGAAUGAAACUUAAAGGAAUUGACGGGG
rnacentral:rRNA from 1 species